rnacentral:rRNA from 1 species
UACAGAGGUCUCAAGCGUUGUUCGGAUUCAUUGGGCGUAAAGGGUGCGUAGGUGGCGCGCUAAGUCAGGUGUGAAAUUUCGGAGCUUAACUCCGAAACUGCAUUUGAUACUGGCGUGCUUGAGGACUGGAGAGGAGACUGGAAUUCAUGGUGUAGCAGUGAAAUGCGUAGAUAUCGUGAGGAAGACCAGUGGCGGAAGGCGGGUCUCUGGACAGUUCCUGACGCUGAGGCGCGGAAG